UACGUAGGGUGCAAGCGUUAAUCGGAAUUACUGGGCGUAAAGCGUGCGCAGGCGGUUCGCUAAGACGGAUGUGAAAUCCCCGGGCUUAACCUGGGAACUGCAUUUGUGACUGGCGGGCUAGAGUAUGGCAGAGGGGGGUAGAAUUCCACGUGUAGCAGUGAAAUGCGUAGAGAUGUGGAGGAAUACCGAUGGCGAAGGCAGCCCCCUGGGCCAAUACUGACGCUCAUGCACGAAAGCGUGGGGAGCAAACAGG
rnacentral:rRNA from 1 species